AUUGAACGCUGGCGGCAUGCCUUACACAUGCAAGUCGAACGGUAACGGGUCCUUCGGGAUGCCGACGAGUGGCGAACGGGUGAGUAAUAUAUCGGAACGUGCCCAGUAGUGGGGGAUAACUGCUCGAAAGAGCAGCUAAUACCGCAUACGACCUGAGGGUGAAAGGGGGGGAUCGCAAGACCUCUCGCUAUUGGAGCGGCCGAUAUCAGAUUAGCUAGUAGGUGGGGUAAAGGCCUACCAAGGCAACGAUCUGUAGUUGGUCUGAGAGGACGACCAGCCACACUUGGACUGAGACACGGCCCAGACUCCUACGGGAGGCAGCAGUGGGGAAUUUUGGACAAUGGGCGCAAGCCUGAUCCAGCUAUGCCGCGUGCAGGAAGAAGGCCUUCGGGUUGUAAACUGCUUUUGUCAGGGAAGAAAUCUUCUGGGCUAAUACCCCGGGAGGAUGACGGUACCUGAAGAAUAAGCACCGGCUAACUACGUGCCAGCAGCCGCAGUAA
rnacentral:rRNA from 1 species